UUUACACUCACUACUGGAAAUUUUUGUUUCCAGAAAAGCACACCUUUUUAUGAAGCGGUGGGUUUUUUUUUAACGGACUUGUUAUAAACUUCUCAUUAAACAUAUUCUGAAUAACUUCCCAAAGAAAUCCAAGAGAAAAGGCGGCUGCUUCUGAACCCUGCCAACUAGUACAAAAAAAAGCAACGUCUGCGAAGCUCUCCCUCAGCGCCGGCUGCCCCGCCGUGGGCUCCGGCCGAGGGCCGGCUUCGCAGCGCAGCUGCCUUCCGGCGGCGGGGCCCGCGCAGCGCGGGCAGCAGGAGGGCUUCGGCCGCGCGGCGGCGGCGGGCGCCGGCUGGGCAGGGCGGGGGCGGCCGGCGGGCCCCGGGCCUACCCGGACCGGCGGCCUUGCGCCCCCCGGCCCACAGCGCCCGGCGCGGGACAGCCCGGGCGGGUGCCCUCAGCCCCGCGCAGUGCUCGUGCUUUCUCGGAGCUGAACCCUGGAGGCUCUGCAGCGGCUGGGAGAGCCUUUCCCUCGGCUUCUCCCCGGGCUGGGCCCUAACCAGAAGUCAACUACUGAUUUGUUGUUCCCUAUGUGUCUCUUGGAGCCUUUUUUUGAAAAUGUAUUCACAUUUCCCAUCUUUUGAGGUUAAACAACAGACUACAUGCCUUGGAGGAGGGUCAGUCUUUGGAUGAAGCACUGACAGCUGAGCAGUAGUGGCAACCCCACGACCCAGAACAAGGCCAGAAGAGCACAGAAGAGCACCUCUGUUACACAGCCAACUUUAA